GAGGAAUAUUGGACAAUGGAUGGAAAUCUGAUCCAGCCAUGCCGCGUGCAGGAGGACGGCCCUAUGGGUUGUAAACUUCUUUUGUACGGGAAUAAAGUGGGCUACGUGUAGCCUUUUGUAUGUACCGUACGAAUAAGGAUCGGCUAACUCCGUGCCAGCAGCCGCGGUAAUACGGAGGAUCCGAGCGUUAUCCGGAUUUAUUGGGUUUAAAGGGUGCGUAGGUGGAUUGAUAAGUCAGUGGUGAAAGUUUGCAGCUUAACUGUAAAAUUGCCGUUGAAACUGUCGGUCUUGAGUGCAAAUGAGGUAGGCGGAAUGCGUCGUGUAGCGGUGAAAUGCUUAGAUAUGACGCAGAACUCCGAUUGCGAAGGCAGCUUACUGGGAUGCAACUGACACUGAGGCACGAAAGCGUGGGUAUCAAAC
rnacentral:rRNA from 1 species